AUUGAACGCUGGCGGCAGGCCUAACACAUGCAAGUCGAACGAGGGGCGGACGGGUGAGUAAUGUCUGGGAAACUGCCCGAUGGAGGGGGAUAACUAAUGGAAACGGUAGCUAAUACCGCAUACCAUCGGAUGUGCCCAGAUGGGAUUAGCUUUAAGGUGGGGUAACGGCUCACCUGGGCGACGAUCCCUAGCUGGUCUGAGAGGAUGACCAGCCACACUGGAACUUAGACCCGGUCGCGAAUCCUACGGCAGGAAGCAGUGGGGAAUAUUGCACAAUGGGCGCAAGACUGAUGCAGCCAUGCCGGGUAUAUGCAGAAGGCCUUCGGGGUGUAAAGUACUUACAUCGAGGAGGCGUUACUCGCAGAAGAAGCACCGGCUAACUCCGUGCCAGCAGCCGCGGUAAUAC
rnacentral:rRNA from 1 species